GACGAACGCUGGCGGCGUGCUUAACACAUGCAAGUCGAACGGAAAGGCCCUGCUUGCCGGGUACUCGAGUGGCGAACGGGUGAGUAACACGUGGGUGAUCUGCCCUGCACUUCGGGAUAAGCCUGGGAAACUGGGUCUAAUACCGGAUAGGAGCCAUUUUUAGUGUGAUGGUUGGAAAGUUUUUUCGGUGUAGGAUGAGCUCGCGGCCUAUCAGCUUGUUGGUGGGGUAAUGGCCUACCAAGGCGGCGACGGGUAGCCGGCCUGAGAGGGUGGACGGCCACAUUGGGACUGAGAUACGGCCCAGACUCCUACGGGAGGCAGCAGUGGGGAAUAUUGCACAAUGGGCGCAAGCCUGAUGCAGCGACGCCGCGUGGGGGAUGACGGCCUUCGGGUUGUAAACUCCUUUCGCUAGGGACGAAGCUUUUUGUGACGGUACCUAGAUAAGAAGCACCGGCUAACUACGG
rnacentral:rRNA from 1 species